GACGAACGCUGGCGGCGUGCUUAACACAUGCAAGUCGAACGCAGUGGCGAACGGGUGAGUAAUACGUGGGUAACCUGCCCUCCUUUUUGGGAUAAGCCUUGGAAACGGGGUCUAAUACCGAAUAAAGGGGGAUGGGCUCGCGGCCUGUCAGCUUGUUGGUGGGGUGAUUGCCUACCAAGGCGGUGACGGGUAGCCGGCCUGAGCGGGUGCCCGGUGACAUAGGUACUGAGAAAAGGCCCAGACUCGUAAGGGGGGCAGCAGUGGGGGAUAUUGCAGAAGGUGUGAAAGACUGAUGCAGCGACUCUGCAGGGGGGAUGAAGGCUUUCGGGUUGUAAACCUCUUUAGCAAUCGAACCGGUAGGUGGAGAAGAAGCGCCGGCUAACUACGUGCCAGCAGCCGCGGUAAUAC
rnacentral:rRNA from 1 species